AGCUAUAAUAAUCUCCCCAUGUGAUAACAAGCUGCAAAGUAUAAUGUUAUAGCAUCCCUUGAUGAACUCUCCAGUACUAACUUUCACUGUCACAUAACCAAUGGUUGUGAUGUUGUAAGUAAGAAAGAAAACUACUACUCAAAAUCAAUAAAUUUUAUAUACCUUAAAUGCAGCCAAGACUUCCGAUGAAAGCAAUCCUUCUACCUGCAAAUGAACAAAUUAUAAACCAUUUCAGUUUACAUUUAUGAAAUCAGAAGUUGUGAUUCGCUUGGCAUAAUCAGUAGCAAUAUGGUUCUGGUAAGGUCAGAUGUUGAGCUAGCAUUAUUCUCUCAGUCUUCGUCUCAUUCAGAAACACCGACAUAAGAUCACAUAUAUAACCACACUCAAUUAACAAAUCGGAAAAUAGAAAUCACAUUAAGUACAAUUGUACAAGUAACUUACAAAAGAUCCAUCUUGAAGCAAUUAAGAAAUUUGAGAUAAUUUCUCAAAUAGAUUUGAGAAGUGAUAUUCAUACAUAAAGAUACAAUUCCUUGCUACCAUAUUGUUAUCUAUUAGAAAUAUAUUGUUAUCUCUCAGUGAAUCUCAGGACUUGGCAGAAGUAGAAUCAAGACCCUAGGAUUUGUUUAAACUACACGCAAAGAAAGGGUUCCGCCUUAUUUAAGCGAAGAACAAAAAAUAUGCAGAAGAUAAAUAUACCUAUUUAAGCAUCCUAAAGUACAAUAAGGGAAAAUAACAACUAAAAUCUAGAAACAAGGAAAUUACAGCUACCGAUACUAAAGCUAACAACUAAAAACAAACUCGACAUCAUAACAAUAACCUUAAAAAUUGCUUCUCGUGAUCUAGAUGCAUGGCUUGUUUUCCAUCUUUUUCACCGCAUUCUCAUCACAUGAUAUUUUAGCAUAUGUUAGCUUCCUUGCUGAUAUCAACAAAAAUACAAACUCAAUUCCAAAUUUUCCUUGCUGAUAUCAACAAAAAUAGGAUCAUAAAGUAGAUCUAUAAAAUAAGUUCAGAAUAGAAACCUCAUCAUCAUAGAUCAACCAAAAGCACUUUUCAAGCUGUCAGUACAUAAACAAAUUACUUAUCAAUAAACGCACAAUCCUUGCACACAGAAGAUGAAGUAGAUGCAUUGACAAGUAAAGGAAACAACUCAUCAUUCAAAAAGGAGAUCUACAAAAAUGGAACCCUGAGCAAUGGAACCACAAAAUUGAAUAACAAAUUUCUGAUAUUCAGAUCUUCCAUAAAACGUGAAAGUUUAGGUCACUGAGAUAGAGUUUAAUAUCUUCACAAUAGAAAGAAAAAACAUUGAAACAAAAAUAGAUACAGAAGGUGGCCACCAAAUUAAAAUAACUAAACAAAAACGAAAAACACCAAACCACAAAACAGCCACCUAGAACACACCAACAUUGACACAAAACCACACCAGUGCGGAACUACCAUCGACACAGCAGAACUACAACAAAAUUGUUCCUGAGAAGCAGAAAAAAUCCAAAAAAAAAACACCAAUAGAGUAGCAUAAAUACCACAACAGAGGACCAUGAUUAAACAGUUCCAACAACGAUUUGAAAACAUGCUCAAAGGGAAGGAGGAAGAAGGGGAAAACAAACCUGAACGUGUAACAUGACGGCAACGAUUUCUACAGUUGGAACAAUAAUGAAAGAGAAAUUUAGGGAUUUGAGGUGAAGACAUUGAAGAGAACAGGACGGCAACGAUUUCUCUUUGCAGACAUCGAUGAAGAUGUUGGAGAGAACGAGAUUGAGAUAGUAAUUUAGGGAUUCAAGGCGAAGAGAUCGAAGAAGACAGCAGAGAUGUGGUUUUGGGAUUUAGGGAUUUAGUGUGAGUUUUUUUGAUAAACACAGGGGAGUGUAUUUAUUUUUUUUUUUAAUAUAAGAUUGAGUGAAGUUUUGAUUUUUUAGAGAAAGAGCCAAAAUUUUGACUACGCGGCAAUAGCCAAAAUAAUGCAACGGUUGAUAUAACUGUCGCAAAAUUUCAAAAUUAAUUUAAAACAUUGCAACGGUUACCUAACUGUCGCAUAAGUUGUUGCAAAAUUUCAAAAAUAAGCACAUUGCGACGGUUCUAGCCAAAUCGUCGCAAUGCAAGUGUCGCAAAGUGACAAUUUUCUUGUAGUG
rnacentral:lncRNA from 1 species